rnacentral:rRNA from 1 species
GGUGACCUCCUGGGAAGUCCUCGUGUUGCACUCUUU